rnacentral:rRNA from 1 species
ACGAAAGGGGCUAGCGUUGUUCGGAAUUACUGGGCGUAAAGCGCACGUAGGCGGCCUUGUAAGUUGGGGGUGAAAUCCCGGAGCUCAACUCCGGAACUGCCUUCAAAACUACAAAGCUAGAGGAUGUGAGAGGAUAGUGGAAUUCCGAGUGUAGAGGUGAAAUUCGUAGAUAUUCGGAAGAACACCAGUGGCGAAGGCGACUGUCUGGCACAUUUCUGACGCUGAGGUGCGAAAGCGUGGGGAGCAAACA